rnacentral:rRNA from 1 species
AUACGGGGGGUGCAAGCGUUAAUCGGAAUUACUGGGCGUAAAGCGCGCGUAGGCGGUUUGCUCAGUCGGAUGUGAAAGCCCAGGGCUCAACCUUGGAACUGCAUACGAUACUGGCAAACUAGGGUGUGAGAGAGGAUAGUGGAAUUUCCGGUGUAGCGGUGAAAUGCGUAGAUAUCGGAAGGAACAUCAGUGGCGAAGGCGACUGUCUGGCUCAACACUGACGCUGAGGUGCGAAAGCGUGGGUAGCAAACAGGAUUAGAAACCCUAGUAGUCC